UACGUAGGUGGCAAGCGUUGUCCGGAAUUAUUGGGCGUAAAGCGCGCGCAGGCGGCGUCUUAAGUCUGAUGUGAAAUCUUGCGGCUCAACCGCAAGCGGCCAUUGGAAACUGGGGGGCUUGAGUACAGAAGAGGAGAGUGGAAUUCCACGUGUAGCGGUGAAAUGCGUAGAUAUGUGGAGGAACACCAGUGGCGAAGGCGACUCUCUGGUCUGUAACUGACGCUGAGGCGCGAAAGCGUGGGGAGCAAACAGG
rnacentral:rRNA from 1 species